GACGAACGCUGGCGGCGUGCUUAACACAUGCAAGUCGAACGGAAAGGCCCUGCUUUUGUGGGGUGCUCGAGUGGCGAACGGGUGAGUAACACGUGAGUAACCUGCCCUUGACUUUGGGAUAACUUCAGGAAACUGGGGCUAAUACCGGAUAGGAGCUCCUGCUGCAUGGUGGGGGUUGGAAGGUUUCGGCGGUUGGGGAUGGACUCGCGGCUUAUCAGCUUGUUGGUGGGGUAGUGGCUUACCAAGGCUUUGACGGGUAGCCGGCCUGAGAGGGUGACCGGCCACAUUGGGACUGGGAUACGGCCCAGACUCCUACGGGAGGCAGCAGUGGGGAAUAUUGCACAAUGGGCGGAAGCCUGAUGCAGCAACGCCGCGUGCGGGAUGACGGCCUUCGGGUUGUAAACCGCUUUCGCCUGUGACGAAGCGUGAGUGACGGUAAUGGGUAAAGAAGCACCGGCUAACUACGUG
rnacentral:rRNA from 1 species